rnacentral:rRNA from 1 species
AUGGCUUUAGUUAGAAAAUAUGAAAAGCCAGACAUAUUCCUCACAAUGACCUGCAACCCCAGUUGGGAAGAGAUAACAUGUGAACUACAGUUUGGACAAACGCCACAAGAUCGCCCGGAUAUUGUAGUUCGUAUUUUCAGGGCGAAGCUAGAAGAAAUGAAGAAGCAACUAUUUAAGAAGAACAUUCCUGGAAAGGUCCAGGCAUAUACAUAUGUCAUAGAGUUCCAAAAGAGGGGACUACCCCAUGCUCACUUUUUACUGAUCAUGACCGGAAAAUAUAAGUACACAUGUCCAGAACGGUAUGACAUAAUCAUCUCUGCUGAGCUCCCUAACAAGCACAAAUACCCAGAUAGAUAA